rnacentral:rRNA from 1 species
CCUACGGGAGGCUGCAGUGGGGAAUAUUGGGCAAUGGGCGCAAGCCUGACCCAGCAACGCCGCGUGAAGGAUGAAGGCUUUCGGGUUGUAAACUUCUUUUCAGAGGGAAGAGCAGAAGACGGUACCUCUUGAAUAAGACACGGCUUACUACGUGCCAGCAGACGGGGUAAUCCGGAGGUGGCAAGCGUGGUACGGAUUUACUGGGUGUAAAGGGCGUGCAGCCGGGAAGACAAGUCAGUGGUGAAAUCCCGCGGCUCAACCGCGGAACUGCAUUUGAAACUGUCUUUCUUGAGUACCGGAGAGGUCAUCGGAAUGCCAGGUGUAGCGGUGAAAUGCGUAGAUAGAAGGAAGAACACCAGUGGCGAAGGCGGAUGACUGGACGGCAACUGACGGUGAGGCGCGAAAGCGUGGGGAGCAAACAGGAUGAGAUACCCGAGUAGUC